UACGAAGGGAACUAGCGUUGUUCGGAAUCACUGGGCGUAAAGCGUGAGUAGGCGGCUGUAUAAGUCAGAUGUGAAAUCCUUAAUCUUAAGUUAAGAACUGCAUUUGAAACUGUACAGCUUGAGAGUAGUAGGGGAUAUUGGAAUUCCAAGUGUAGAGGUGAAAUUCGUAGAUAUUUGGAGGAACACCAGUAGCGAAGGCGUAUAUCUGGGCUACAACUGACGCUGAGUCACGAAAGUAUGGGUAGCAAACAGG
rnacentral:rRNA from 1 species